rnacentral:rRNA from 1 species
UACGUAGGGGGCAAGCGUUGUCCGGAAUCAUUGGGCGUAAAGCGCGUGUAAGGCGGGCUGAGUAAGUCUGCUCUGAAAGCCCGGGGCUCAACCCCGGGAGGCGGGUGGAUACUGCUCAGCUCGAGUCCGGAAGAGGAGUGUGGAAUUCCUGGUGUAGCGGUGAAAUGCGCAGAUAUCAGGAGGAACACCAAUGGCGAAGGCAGCACUCUGGGGACGGGUACUGGACGCUGAAGACGCGAAAGCGUGGGGAGCAAACAGG